UGCCAACAAGACUAGCCAUAUCUGGGAAU
rnacentral:piRNA from 1 species